GACGCCGAUAUUCGACGUCAUAAACACGAUCAACUUUGGCGUUUAUGACGUCGAUAUUCGACGUCAUAAACACGAUCAACUUAGAUGUUUAUGACGUCGAUAUUCCACAUCAUAAACACGAUCAACUUUGGUGUUUAAGACGUCGAUAUCCGACAUCCUAAACACGAUUAACUUUGGUGUUUAUGACGUCGAUAUUCGACAUCAUAAACACGAUCAAGUUUGGUGUUUAUGACGUCGAUAGUCGACGUCAUAAACACGAUCAACUUUGGUGUUUAUGACGUCGAUAUUGGACGUC